AGACCCAUGGUGUAACUGGCAACACGUCUGAUUUUGGUUCAGAAGAGUCCAGGUUCGAGCCCUGGUGGGUCUGCAA
rnacentral:tRNA from 1 species